CCUUUCUUCUCUUUCCUUUCUUUUUUUUUCCUUUCCUCUUUUUUCCAUUUUUUUUCUUUUUUAUCUGCGUCGAAAGAUCACGAACGUUUCCUUAUCUUCUCGCAUGCACGGACCACCUCUCUCUCUCUCUCUCUCUCUUUCUCUCUCUCUCUGUGAAUAUCCGAGUCGAUGCGGCUGCGGCCGUUGUACGCGCGGUUAUUUCAACCAGGCUUGUUUGUUCAACGGUUGUAACGCCGCCUUUAUUUGCCCUCCAUUUUCCUCCUGCCUUCGGGCGCCACUCUCUAAAUUACACUUCAUUCUCGCGUUGCAAAUUGUUACCGGCGUGAAAAAAAGGCCCGCCUUCGAUCGAUCCUCUCCGCCUUCGUUCGAGAGCCAUGGGAAACGAUCGGUUGUGUAAAAUGGAUUAUCGAAAAAAGGAAAGGGAAGAGGGAGGGGGAUGAGACGUGGGAUGAGAAGACACGUUCGUCGAAUAGGCCUUUUCCUUUUUAUUCGAGCCGAAUAAUAUACGUGAAUUAUAUCCAUACGUACGUUCGAGUUGGAGUGGACACGCCGCUCGUGUCUCGCGGAUGGAGCGUAAUAGAGAAACGCGGCGAUUAAUUGCGGCCGACUGGACAGACCAGUUAAAGAUAGAGCCGAUAAGUAAAUCAGUUUGAAUAAGAAAAGACACGGCAACGGUUCAGCGACUCGGUAAGUUCCCCGUCGAGACAUAAUAAGAGACAUAAUAUUCCUUCAAAUCCUCACCUUUUCCAUUUAAUAAACGGAUACGUUUCAAUUAACCGUAUAAUAAAAUAGCUUCGGUUCCAAUUUAUCGAUCGAGUCGUGGAAAAUCUACGACUUCAUUAAUUUCGCUAAUUUUUCGAUAUAUAUUUACUACACAUCGGUUAACGAUUCCUUCUUUUUUUCUUUUUAGAAGAAAUCGUAUCCUACCGUGCUUUCGAACUUUUCUCCAAAAUUCCGAACGAUGAAAAAAUAUCUUCUCGAUCGAUCUUCUCCCCAUUUCCCCGUUUAUCCCCGUUUCCCCCUUCGACUUUCGUCGACGACGACCAAACAUCCUCCCUCUCGAACAGAGAAUACCCCGUGUAUCGCUACAUCUUCGAUUAUAUCCUAGUUAUCAGGAUCCUAGGAUCUGAGGUACGAUCGAUAACGAAGCUUCCAACAUUUUUAUCCGUCAAUGGUAUAUCUGGCUCUGGCUCGACGGAUAGCGAUGGGGAAAGGGGUUGCGCGGGAAGAACGCACAGGGGGUGGGUAAGGGGAGGAGGGCCAUUCGAGAAAUUGCGAUCGUCUCUCUGGAGUGAAGUGAACGUUAGCACCGGGUCGACUGAGAGAGAGAGAGAGAGAAAGGGUGGGAAGGGUGGGGUUGGUUGGAAGCGUUAUCACAAGGAUAUCGAAGUGUGUAUAAACUAGGACAUAGUCAGCGUACAGAUAGGUGGGAGGCGAGGAAAGGGGGAGGAAGAAGUGGGAGGUUGGGAGGUGGAGAAGAGAUUCCCUGAACGAUACCGGUAUAGGAUGCCAGAUUCCCGAGGGAGAUUAGAUCCCAGCCGUGGAUAGAGGCUACCUCGACUGCGUACAACUCACCCACACUCUCUCUCCCUCUUCUUCCAUUCUCUAUCCCCGUUUUUUCCUCUCUGUCUACCUCUUUCCACUCUAGUGUGUGCACUGCUAUAUCCCUUUCUCUCUUCGCUCGCUCUUUCCCUCUCCCUCUCUCCCUCUCCAAUGGUUUAUUCUACCUACUUUCGAUCCUCUCGCACACACACUCUCUCUCUCUCCUUCUCCCUCUUCGUCCCUUUUAUCAUUCAGUCCGUGCCUUUCUCUGUCCACCCCUCUUCCUCUUCCUCCUUCUCCUCCUCUCUUUCUCUCUCGCCGCAACAAAUUGCCGAACGUCUCGCGAGCCGCGUCAUUGUUCCCUCUUCUUUUGAAGGCUGAAGAAGAUAAAUAGAUAGAUAGAAUUAUUGUGCGCUCGGGCUUCAGCUUAGCUUCUCGUCCCCGGCAGCCACGUAGUGACGUAAAUGAAGAGAAGUAGGGGGAGGAAGAAACAAGGGAGAGAGACGCCUCGCUUCCAUUCCGCUUUCACGCGUUUAGGCGAGAGCCACCCUGGUUUUAUUGAGAACUUUCCUAUCCUCGUUCAACUCGACGCUUCGUAUCGAGUUGUUCGCGGGGUGGUUCACGCGGGGAGGAUAUCGAGCAGAGAGUUCCUCGUUUGCAGGAAUAAUUACGAUACGAGUCGAGAGAACGAUCCGGUAUCGCGACGCGGGGAGAUUAUUUUCAGGCGGGGAGGGAGAGGAGAGGGGGAGAAAGAAAAAAAGAAAAAAGAAAAAAAGGAACGAGUUUAGACAAUGACUCGACGCUAUCUGUUGAUCGACUGGUGGUUCUUCUUUGGUAAAUAGUGGAAGAUAACAGGCGGACAAUACCGUCUAGGCGAACGUAAAGAUAAACGGUGAGUCAACCGGUCGCGAGAUAAAAGUCGGUGCCUGGUACCAACCGCAUACUUGGACGUUUUUGGCGAAAAUUCGGACGCAGCCGAAUAUUUCGUUUAAUAAUCCGAUACAAGAGAUUCGAAUCUUCUUCUGUGGAAUGUAUCAUUUGUAUGUAUUGCCAUUCGUUCGUUUUUUAAAUAUCUCGUCGUGUUGAUUCACGAUGAUCAAAAUCGAAGGAUCGGAACGUUUUAAUCGAAUUGAAAAAUUCCUAGUUGAAUUUUCAUUUGCCGAGAAUUUGCCAAGAUAUCUAUCUAUGCAAUAUUCGCAGACGAAGAAGAAUUCUCAUAUCGAUAAACUUAUGUACACAAGUGGGAAGAAAAUUCAGUUUGCUUUUGGAUUUUUUUUCACCCGAACCGAAGAGAAUUCUUCAAUGGACUUGAAAAAUCCGGAUAUCGGAUAGAUAUCUAACAGAUAGGAGGAUAAAAUGGGAAAAAUAUCGUUCGAAAUUUCUCGAAGCGCUUCGUCAUCGAGGUGUAUCAAUGAGCGUGCAAUUGAAAAAGAUGUACGGCAACGAGGCCCGUUAUCUAGCCUCGAUAUCGGUCAGGCAUUUACUCUCCCCUCCACCCCUCCACGUUGAACAACUGGCAAACGGAAGAGGAGGAAGGGGGAGGGGAUCGGUGAGAGCGUGUUGUUAACGAGACGAAAUGAAAUAGAUUAAGGUCUAGUAGCGAUCGUGGUGGCGGAUAGCGUUGGUAAAAACGUGGCUGGCCACGAGAACGUCGAAGAACGAACGAACGAACGAAAAAGGAGGGACGGUGUGUGUGCACCGUGUGUUCUCCACGUUCAUGCAUGGCGUAACCGCGCGCGAUGACAAAAGCGGCCAUCGACGCUUCUUCUACAUGGCACGAAAAAAAAAAAAGAAAAAGAAAAAAACAAUCCUCCACUCUAUUUAAAAUCUAUUUAAACGACAAUUAUAAAGUAGAAAUAGAAAUUCAUUAUAAUUAUGAUAAUAAUAAGAUAUUUUGUAAUUUCAUGGUUUGUUAUUUCAUUAUCGAACGAGACGAGAUUAUUUAAUUAUAACGUAUCAUAAUUGUUGAUAGUUACAUAAAAUAUUCGAUCCAAAGAAAUUAGCUGACUACCGAAUACAGUUAGCAAUAACAUUUCUAAUUCACGUAUCAAAUAAUUGCAAGGAUUGUUAAUCUACAUUUCUCCAAUGUGAAGCGUACAAAUUAAAGAGGUUUCUUUAAAGAAAUUGACCAUAAAGAUAAAACAGUCAAUCGAGUAAAUUGUUCUCGAUUCAUUGCAAGUUGUUGCAAUUCGAAUACAAUUUCUGCAACUCGUUGAAUGAAUUCUAUUCAAUUAGAAUCGAAAGGGAAGAAGCGUACGUACGCGUAUUUUUUUUUUCCUUUUCUUUCCUUUUUUUUCCUUUUUUUUUUUUUACGGGACACGGAGUAUGCACGGUACGGUGCGCGCAGAAACGCGCGAGCGUAAUACACGCGAGAGCAGGAAGAGGAAAAAAGAGGAGCGGACGGAGCACACGCGUGUCCCUCGUGAACCCACGCACACGCACACGAGGCACGCAGCCCCGUAUACGCGAUCGAAACGGCGAGAUAAUCGCGGCACGUACUUUGCCUAUCGCGUAUGUAUAUACGAUUUUACGGAUAACACCGCUCGCGUUCUGCCGAUCGCCAGCCGAAAGAUGCCGAUGCCUAACAAAGAACUUUUCAAUAAAUUCGUGGAAAUCCACGCUAUUGAGACCAUAAAUCCACUCUUAUUCUUAUUCCUCUUUAUCGUUCCAAGGAUUCGAAAUGCGAAUAAUCUCGCUUAUCGCGUUUAAGAAAUCGCGGAACGCUUAGGCAUCGGCAAUAAUUCUCGAUCGAGGAUCAUCCACUCCAUUGACAAUGUGCCAUCAUCCCUGUGUGCGAUGUGAAAUUCGAAAUAGUCCAAUUCUAUACAUUUACAUUUUAUUAUGCCACCCUAUAUAUCCCAACAUACAGUAACAACACUUGACAAUUAUUCUAAUUUAAAAUUCCAACUAAAUUCCCACUAAACAAUUUUCCAUUUAACGGUGCACAAAUCGAAAACGGUUCGAAAGAAAGAAGAUCAGAAAAAAAAAAAAGAAAAUACGAAAAAACGAUCAUCGUUUGACCACACCACAGUCCCGCCAUGUCCCAUCGGGAAUAGCGAGCUUUAUAAUCCUUUCAACGAGCAGAAACAAAAAAGGGAAAAACAGAGAGAGAGAGAGAGAGAGAGAGAAAGAGCAUCGACCGAAAAGCUCGAAGAGCGUGUAGAUCGUGGAGCGAUAUCGUGGACGAGAACGUGCGAGCAAAUCGACCGGUCGAUUUUCGGAAUCUCUGGCCGAGAAAGAGAGAGAGAGAGAGAGAGAGAAGAGGAGGAGGAGGAAAAAGAAUUGAGCACCCGAUGUAGGACACACACCGAACGUGUCACCGCGCGAGGCCUGACACAAUGAGAAUGACGAGGAUACGGCGGACCGUACGGUGACUUUAUCUGACGCACUGACGCAUCGUGACGAGCCAUCCGCCGUGCUCGAUACCAUGAGUCACGUGGAUAGAAGGGAGAUGAACGUACCACGUGUGACGAGGAUGGGGAUCUUUAUAAGAGAGACCCGUAGAAACGGGUGGGGGAGAAUGAGUGUGUGUGAGAGAGAGCGAGGGAGGGAGGGAGGGAGGAGAGCUAGGGAGAGAUCGUUAUCGACGCUUUCCUGUGUCCUGCCACGUUCUCAGAAGAGCAUUCGAGCUGUAUGAGGAAACGCCGUCCAUGAAUUAUUCAUAGCCGUCGUCAAACGACUGCUAGCGCAUCGCUUUAUACCUGCGCGCACUCUGGCUUCUUUGCCCCGACGAGGCUGGCCCCACGCGAACUCCAGAAAAUCGUGGAUAACGACGACGAAUCGGAGGCGAGGAUCAGGGUGGCAAAUUCGUAUCGCUGGGUUCGAGAUUGGGACGAUGAACGAAGUUAACUCAUUGGACGGAUUACUCUUCAAUUGAGAGCAUCGAUUGAAAAAUAUUAAAUUCUAUCCAUGCGGUUUAACAUUCAAGCGAUAUCUCUACUGGAGAGUUAUCCUAAUCAUUCUAAAAAAGAUACACUUGCAGGGCCACGCUUUCGACCAUGUCAGAGGGCAAGUAAGAAGAAGAAGAGGAAGAGAGAAAGAGAGGGGACGUCAGUUAUCUGGCGCACGUCAAAACGGCGCAAAGUUGUGCCGGUCGGGAGAGGCAUAUCUCGGUCGCAGCAGGUUGUACGCUGAGACUUGGUGGCACAGAUACCGGCGCCUCAAUGUCAGAAAGAUAGCAGUCUGAGAGACUCCGCGAGACUCGUCACGACGUGCCACGGGAAUGACUACUGUGCGCCUGCCUCGCCUUCCACUAUGUACACGCCGCUGCACCUCCGCCUGUGUCCGUUCUCCUCGUAUGGACAUUUGUUGGGUCAUCUUGGUAACCUCGAUCCCGCCCAUCGACACCUUGGGACCUCGCUCAUUUUCUACCGUGUAGCACUCGUUUUUUAUUUUUUUUUUCUUCUAUUUUUAUCUUAUUGUAUAUGUAUAUAUAUAUCUUAGAUAUCUUAUAGAUAUCUUAUAUAAAUAAGUAUAGAAUGGAAUUCUAUAAAAAGAAAUUAUGAAUUUAUAAAUCAUAAAGCGUAAGAAAACAGAAAAUAAAAAAGGAAUAUUGAGAAAUAAAAUAAA